rnacentral:rRNA from 1 species
AGCGAACGCUGGCGGCGUGCUUAACACAUGCAAGCCGAACGUGAAAGUAGCAAUAUGAGUAAAGUGGCGUACGGGUGAGUAACACGUGGGUAAUCUACCAAAGAGCCUGGAAUAACGUGCCGAAAGGCGCGCUAAUACUAGAUAGUUCAAGCCAACUGUAGAGGUUGGAUUGGGAAAGGGAGCUUGUAAGAGCCUUCACUUUUUGAUGAGCCCGCGUCUGAUUAGCUAGUUGGUAAGGUAAUGGCUUACCAAGGCGACGAUCAGUAGCUGGUCUGAGAGGAUGAUCAGCCACACUGGAACUGAAACACGGUCCAGACUCCUACGGGAGGCAGCAGUGGGGAAUCUUGCGCAAUGGACGAAAGUCUGACGCAGCCACGCCGCGUGAGUGAAGAAGGCCUUCGGGUUGUAAAGCUCUGUCGGAAGGGACAAAAACCCUUUAGGUUAAUAGCCUAGAGGCUUGAUGGUACCUUUAAAGGAAGCACCGGCUAACUUCGUGCCAGCCGCCGCGGUAA